rnacentral:rRNA from 1 species
UGGGGAAUCUUGGACAAUGGGCGCAAGCCUGAUCCAGCCAUGCCGCGUGAGUGAAGAAGGCCUUAGGGUUGUAAAACUCUUUCGCCGGAGAAGAUAAUGACGGUAUCCGGAGAAGAAGCCCCGGCUAACUUCGUGCCAGCAGCCGCGGUAAUACGAAGGGGGCUAGCGUUGUUCGGAAUUACUGGGCGUAAAGCGCACGUAGGCGGGUCUGUAAGUAGAGGGUGAAAUCCCAGGGCUCAACCCUGGAACUGCCUUCUAGACUGCAGGCCUGGAGGUCAGGAGAGGCGAGCGGAAUUCCGAGUGUAGAGGUGAAAUUCGUAGAUAUUCGGAGGAACACCAGUGGCGAAGGCGGCUCGCUGGACUGAUACUGACGCUGAGGUGCGAAAGCGUGGGGAGCGAACAGGAUUAGAUACCCCAGUAGUCCCUGAGCGGGCUGGCAAGGCGCAU